rnacentral:rRNA from 1 species
AAGGUUAAGCCUCACGGUUCAUUAGUACCGGUUAGCUCAACGCAUCGCUGCGCUUACACACCCGGCCUAUCAACGUCGUCGUCUUCAACGUUCCUUCAGGACCCUUAAAGGGUCAGGGAGAACUCAUCUCGGGGCAAGUUUCGUGCUUAGAUGCUUUCAGCACUUAUCUCUUCCGCAUUUAGCUACCGGGCAGUGCCAUUGGCAUGACAACCCGAACACCAGUGAUGCGUCCACUCCGGUCCUCUCGUACUAGGAGCAGCCCCCCUCAGUUCUCCAGCGCCCACGGCAGAUAGGGACCGAACUGUCUCACGACGUUCUAAACCCAGCUCGCGUACCACUUUAAAUGGCGAACAGCCAUACCCUUGGGACCUACUUCAGCCCCAGGAUGUGAUGAGCCGACAUCGAGGUGCCAAACACCGCCGUCGAUAUGAACUCUUGGGCGGUAUCAGCCUGUUAUCCCCGGAGUACCUUUUAUCCGUUGAGCGAUGGCCCUUCCAUUCAGAACCACCGGAUCACUAUGACCUGCUUUCGCACCUGCUCGCGCCGUCACGCUCGCAGUCAAGCUGGCUUAUGCCAUUGCACUAACCUCCUGAUGUCCGACCAGGAUUAGCCAACCUUCGUGCUCCUCCGUUACUCUUUAGGAGGAGACCGCCCCAGUCAAACUACCCACCAGACACUGUCCGCAACCCGGAUUACGGGCCAACGUUAGAACAUCAAACAUUAAAGGGUGGUAUUUCAAGGCCGGCUCCAUGCAGACUGGCGUCCACACUUCAAAGCCUCCCACCUAUCCUACACAUCAAGGCUCAAUGUUCAGUGUCAAGCUAUAGUAAAGGUUCACGGGGUCUUUCCGUCUUGCCGCGGGUACACUGCAUCUUCACAGCGAGUUCAAUUUCACUGAGUCUCGGGUGGAGACAGCCUGGCCAUCAUUACGCCAUUCGUGCAGGUCGGAACUUACCCGACAAGGAAUUUCGCUACCUUAGGACCGUUAUAGUUACGGCCGCCGUUUACCGGGGCUUCGAUCAAGAGCUUCGCGUUACCGCUAACCCCAUCAAUUAACCUUCCGGCACCGGGCAGGCGUCACACCGUAUACGUCCACUUUCGUGUUUGCACAGUGCUGUGUUUUUAAUAAACAGUUGCAGCCAGCUGGUAUCUUCGACUGAUUUCAGCUCCACGAGCAAGUCGCUUCACCUACAUAUCAGCGUGCCUUCUCCCGAAGUUACGGCACCAUUUUGCCUAGUUCCUUCACCCGAGUUCUCUCAAGCGCCUUGGUAUUCUCUACCUGACCACCUGUGUCGGUUUGGGGUACGAUUUGAUGUUACCUGAUGCUUAGAGGCUUUUCCUGGAAGCAGGGCAUUUGUCGCUUCAGCACCGUAGUGCCUCGUCAUCACGCCUCAGCCUUGAUUUUCCGGAUUUGCCUGGAAAACCAGCCUACACGCUUAAACCGGGACAACCGUCGCCCGGCCAACAUAGCCUUCUCCGUCCCCCCUUCGCAGUAACACCAAGUACAGGAAUAUUAACCUGUUUCCCAUCGACUACGCCUUUCGGCCUCGCCUUAGGGGUCGACUCACCCUGCCCCGAUUAACGUUGGACAGGAACCCUUGGUCUUCCGGCGAGCGGGCUUUUCACCCGCUUUAUCGUUACUUAUGUCAGCAUUCGCACUUCUGAUACCUCCAGCAACCCUCACAGGCCACCUUCACAGGCUUACAGAACGCUCCCCUACCCAACAACACAUAGUGUCGCUGCCGCAGCUUCGGUGCAUGGUUUAGCCCCGUUACAUCUUCCGCGCAGGCCGACUCGACCAGUGAGCUAUUACGCUUUCUUUAAAUGAUGGCUGCUUCUAAGCCAACAUCCUGGCUGUCUGGGCCUUCCCACAUCGUUUCCCACUUAACCAUGACUUUGGGACCUUAGCUGGCGGUCUGGGUUGUUUCCCUCUUCACGACGGACGUUAGCACCCGCCGUGUGUCUCCCGUGAUAACAUUCUCCGGUAUUCGCAGUUUGCAUCGGGUUGGUAAGUCGGGAUGACCCCCUUGCCGAAACAGUGCUCUACCCCCGGAGAUGAAUUCACGAGGCGCUACCUAAAUAGCUUUCGGGGAGAACCAGCUAUCUCCCGGUUUGAUUGGCCUUUCACCCCCAGCCACAAGUCAUCCGCUAAUUUUUCAACAUUAGUCGGUUCGGUCCUCCAGUUAGUGUUACCCAACCUUCAACCUGCCCAUGGCUAGAUCACCGGGUUUCGGGUCUAUACCCUGCAACUUAACGCCCAGUUAAGACUCGGUUUCCCUUCGGCUCCCCUAUUCGGUUAACCUUGCUACAGAAUAUAAGUCGCUGACCCAUUAUACAAAAGGUACGCAGUCACCCCAUUAAGAGGCUCCCACUGCUUGUACGUACACGGUUUCAGGUUCUUUUUCACUCCCUCGCCGGGGUUCUUUUCGCCUUUCCCUCACGGUACUGGUUCACUAUCGGUCAGUCAGGAGUAUUUAGCCUUGGAGGAUGGUCCCCCCAUAUUCAGACAGGAUACCACGUGUCCCGCCCUACUCAUCGAGCUCACAGUAUGUGCAUUUUUGUGUACGGGGCUGUCACCCUGUAUCGCGCGCCUUUCCAGACGCUUCCACUAACACACACACUGAUUCAGGCUCUGGGCUCCUCCCCGUUCGCUCGCCGCUACUGGGGGAAUCUCGGUUGAUUUCUUUUCCUCGGGGUACUUAGAUGUUUCAGUUCCCCCGGUUCGCCUCAUUAACCUAUGGAUUCAGUUAAUGAUAGUGUGUCGAAACACACUGGGUUUCCCCAUUCGGAAAUCGCCGGUUAUAACGGUUCAUAUCACCUCACCGACGCUUAUCGCAGAUUAGCACGUCCUUCAUCGCCUCUGACUGCCAGGGCAUCCACCGUGUACGCUUAGUCGCUUAA